GGUUGAUCCUGCCAGUAGUCAUAUGCUUGUCUCAAAGAUU
rnacentral:rRNA from 1 species